UUCUUAUUGGAUGACGACUGCCACAUGUCACGCUCUAAUUGGAUGUCAACUCCCUGAAAGAUGAAAUGCAUUGUUGCUUUCAUUGACCAAUCAGAACAUGACACGUGACAGUCAUGAUCC
rfam:Glycine soja cultivar W05 scaffold5156_2, whole genome shotgun sequence.